rnacentral:rRNA from 1 species
AUGGUACUUGCUAUUGACCCUGAUGCACAGGAAAAAACGCAUCUGGACAGACAGAAAACGCACGGGAGGGCUCUCCUCGAUGCGCACAUACUCCGCCGCGGCCGCUCUUCCUCUCCGACUCCGGCCAUCCGCAACCCUCUUCUCCUUCGCCUUGCUGCGUCCAGCGUAGAUCCCCGCCGCCGGCCCAAAACGGUGUCCUGGCCGCCGGCUCCCCGGUGCUCUCCACCUCCAUGGAAGUCCGGAUCUCGCCGCCGCCCCGAACUCUCCGGCUCGUCCCACCCUGAGGCAAGCCGCCCCUCCUCUCGGACACAUUGGAGCGACGUCUCACGCGCGAUGUCAGUGGACAAGACGGCCACCAUCAGCGUGGGGAGCAAUGGAUGUGGAAUAUCUGCUGUGGUGGUUCUCAUCUGGCCUUAG